rnacentral:rRNA from 1 species
UACGAAGGGGGCGAGCGUUUGUUCGGAAUUACUGGGCGUAAAGGGCGCGCAGGCGGCUCUGAAAGUCAGAUGUGAAAGCCCCGGGCUUAACCUGGGAAUUGCAUUUGAUACUCUGGAGCUUGAGUACGGGAGAGGAGAGUGGAAUUCCCAGUGUAGAGGUGAAAUUCGUAGAUAUUGGGAAGAACACCGGUGGCGAAGGCGGCGACCUGGUCCGAUACUGACGCUGAGGCGCGAAAGCGUGGGGAGCAAACAGG